rnacentral:rRNA from 1 species
AACGAACGCUGGCGGCAGGCUUAACACAUGCAAGUCGAGCGCCCCGCAAGGGGAGCGGCAGACGGGUGAGUAACGCGUGGGAAUCUACCCAUCUCUACGGAAUAACGCAUGGAAACGUGUGCUAAUACCGUAUACGUCCUUCGGGGGAAAGAUUUAUCGGAGAUGGAUGAGCCCGCGUUGGAUUAGCUAGUUGGUGGGGUAAAGGCCCACCAAGGCGACGAUCCAUAGCUGGUCUGAGAGGAUGAUCAGCCACACUGGGACUGAGACACGGCCCAGACUCCUACGGGAAGCAGCAGUGGGGAAUAUUGGACAAUGGGCGCAAGCCUGAUCCAGCCAUGCCGCGUGAGUGAUGAAGGCCCUAGGGUUGUAAAGCUCUUUCACCGGUGAAGAUAAUGACGGUAACCGGAGAAGAAGCCCCGGCUAACUUCGUGCCAGCCGCCGCGGUAACAC